AGGUUCCCAGAAAAUGUCCUAUAACCAGGACGCGUUUCGGCAUGCAAGCCUUUCUCAACAGGUACCUUAGGUCCACCACAGGUGUUUCCCAGAGGAUUUGGAGAUGGUGGAGGUCUCUGCAGAGGAGGAUGGAGAGCAGACGGGACCCUCCGGGCAGCAGAAUGCCCCCCCCCCCACCUGAUGUGGGCCAAGUAGUGGAGGUCACAGCUGAAGAAGACGGACCCUCCUAGCCUCCGGAUUCCCCCACCCCAGGUCAAGAUGAUGAAGAGGAGGUCUUCACCACCCCCCGCCAGGAGGGUUAAUACUUACUCAUUAAAUUUAAAACCCUGCUAAACAAGAUGCAGCAGGAGAAGAAAAAAAAAUGCAGGAGAUCCGGGAGCAGCAGCGGCAGCUGGAAAAUAAGGUGAAGGAGAUCCAUGCGCAGCAGCAGAAGCUUGCACUGAAGGUGCAGCAGUUUGAUGCACUGCAACUAAGGCCUCAUGCACACGACAGCUUUUUUU